CACGGGUGCGUAACGCGUAGGUAAUCUGCCCUUGAGGUCUGACCAUAACCCCGUUCGAAAGGCGGGCUACAUCAGAUGAUAUAUAAUCACGACAUCGUGGAAAUAUCAAAUCUUCGGAGCCUUGGGAUGAGCCUGCGUCUGAUUAGGUAGUUGGCGGAGUAAUAGCCCACCAAGCCUACGAUCAGUAGCUGGUCUGAGAGGAUGAUCAGCCACACUGGAACUGAGACACGGUCCAGACUCCUACGGGAGGCAGCAGUAAGGAAUAUUGCUCAAUGGGGGGAAACCCUGAAGCAGCAACGCCGCGUGAAGGAUGAAAUACUUUUGUAUGUAAACUUCUGUAAGAUGGGAAAAAUAUUCUCCUCGGGAGAAUUGAUUGUACCAUCAGAGUAAGCCCCGGCUAACUACGUG
rnacentral:rRNA from 1 species